CAUGUCUUCGGAUGUGCCCCGAUAUGAACCUUCCCGUGCUUUUUAGAACAAGAUCGGAUCAGUCAGAUCACGAUCGCAACGUAAUACGCCGCGUAGACUUCGGUCACGACGGUAUGGCGAGCUGCGCCGUCCACGUUUCUCUUUCUUCAAGAAGACAAAGAACCGCGUCGAUCCGGAUAGUUUUUACUGUCUGGACCGGUUUGACGAGAAUGGGCCCGUAGCUCAGUUGGUUAGAGCACACGCUUGAUAAGCGUGGGGUCGGAAGUUCAAGUCUUCCCGGGCCCACCAGCCUUCGCCCUUAUGGGCUAUGGCUUGGCGAGCCGGGAAAAGACGGUGACGCGGAAGUUGCCGAACCCUGGUUUAAGAUCGGGGCGAUCGAGCUGAUGGGGCUGUAGCUCAGCUGGGAGAGCACCUGCUUUGCAAGCAGGGGGUCAGCGGUUCGAUCCCGCUCAGCUCCACCAAAUCGAUUGGUGUCGAGACUGACGGCAUGUUGUCUUUUGAAGAAGUAAAAGGUUUUGCAUCGGCUUUAGAGCCUGAUGCCUGUUCUGCAUACAUUGUGAAGAGAAGAUUGAUCUGGAGGCUUCCAGGUGUUUUGGGUUUUGGCCCGAAACGUCCGAGCCCAGUUCUGAUGAUCCCUUGGAUGGCCUAGCCGGCCGGAUAUGGGUGAAGGACUGGAGGUAGGAAGGAAGCUUGUCGCUCUGGGUCGUUGUUGUUUGCGGUCCUUCUGGGCUNNAUCUGACGGACGACUUGAUUGACGUUGCCUGACCGCGCGUCACCGGAUUUAAUCUCGAGAAGCUGGUCUUAAGAUAGACUGCAAGCGGGCUGCUCGGCGUAGCUCCAAUAAAGCAGAUCUAUCGAACACGUCGAUGGCAUUGUUAGAAAGCGUGAUUGUAAAAGGUAAUCACGCAUUGUUGGUCUGGUAGCUGAGAGGCUUCCGGACUUUGACUGGUUCGACAUACUGAGAAGUAUCUGGCUGGUCAGAUUUGGAACCCCUUCGAGCGCAAGCGAGGAGGAUAGGAAUUCCAAAUCCAACAAAGACGAUGAGCAUUGGCAAUGAGAACGAUCAAGUGUCGUAAGGGUAUUUAGUGGAUGCCUAGGCAUGCACAGGCGAUGAAGGACGUGAUACGCUGCGAAAA
rnacentral:tRNA from 1 species